rnacentral:rRNA from 1 species
UACGUAGGGCGCAAGCGUUGUCCGGAAUUAUUGGGCGUAAAGAGCUCGUAGGUGGUUUGUUACGUCUGCUGUGAAAACCUAGGGCUUAACCCUGGGCCUGCAGUGGAUACGGGCAGACUAGAGGUAGGUAGGGGAGAAUGGAAUUCCCGGUGUAGCGGUGAAAUGCGCAGAUAUCGGGAGGAACACCGGUGGCGAAGGCGGUUCUCUGGGCCUGUACUGACGCUGAGGAGCGAAAGCGUGGGGAGCGAACAGG